rnacentral:rRNA from 1 species
UGAUCGAAUGGCUCUACUAUCAGCUAGUUACUACUACACGGAUACCUGUAGUAAUUCUAGAGCUAAUACGUGCCUCGAUGCCCUGAUCCGCGAGGUGAGGGGUGCACUAUAGAUACAAAUCAAACGGUCACGCCGUAGUUUGUGUGACUCUGAUAACUUUGUAUGAUCGCAGCUGCCUUGUGUCGCGACGGAUCCAUCAAAUAUUCUGCCCUAUCAACUUUCGAUGGUAGGAGACAUGCUACCAUGGUUAUGACGGGUAACGGGGAAUCAGGGUUCGAUUCCGGAGAGGGAGCUGAGAAACGGCUACCACAUCCAAGGAAGGCAGCAGGCGCGUAAAUUACCCACUCUCUGAACGAGGAGGUAGUGAAGAUAAAUAUCGAUACAGAUCUCAAAUGAGGCUCUGUAAUCGAAAUGAGUGCAAUAUAAAUCCUACAACGAGGAUCUAUUGGAGGGCAAGUCUGGUGCCAGCAGCCGCGGUAACUCCAGCUCCAAUAGCGUAUAUUAAAGUUGCUGCAGUUAAAAAGCUCGUAGUUGGAUCUGGGCCAUGUAGUGAUUGUCGGUCUCUCUCUCGCAUGCUUAGGUAUGCUUGGGUGGGCCGGUAUCUUCGCUCAUGGCUUCGAAGCUGUGUCCUUUUGCUCUCGGGCAUUUGGAUGGUGUUGGGUGUUAGUCUUUGCCCCUUUAUGGGGGGCGGAGGCGGCUCAAUAUCAUGUUCUGUUGAUGCCCUUAACCGGGUGUCCGGAACUCUCAGCACGUUUUACUUUGAACAAUUUGAGUGCUCAAAGCAGGCCGUCUGUUGCCUGAAAAUUCUUGCAUGGAAUAAUAGAAUAGGACUUUGGUCCUAUUUUGUUGGUUUGAUAGAACUGAAGUAAUGAUAAACAGAGACAGACGGGGGCAUUUGUAUGGCGGCGCUAGAGGUGAAAUUCGUGGACCGUCGCCAGACAACCUAAAGCGAAAGCAUCUGCCAAGUAUGUUUUCAUUUACCAGGAGCGAAAGUCAGAGGUUCGAAGACGAUCAGAUACCGUCCUAGUUCUGACCAUAAACGAUGCCAACUGACGAUCCGUGGUAGUUCUUUUUAUGAGCCCACGGGCAGUCUCCGGGAAACCUGUAAGUCUAUGGUCCGGGAAUGUAGC